AGGCUCAGAGACUGACCCCGAGUGGGGUUUGAUCCUUCAAGGUGCUGGAUACUCCUGUGCAGUAUUGUGCUCUCUCAUCUCCAGCUGAGUUCAUUGGAUAGCUCCUUGCAGGAUAGAGCUCAUGCCUAGGAGCCCAUUCAUGGUAACAAAGGUUACUUCUGAUGCUUCUCUGCUUCUCUCUCUUCUAAAUGCAAUACCUUUUUCAGUUGUCUGCUUCUGAAACACUUAACAGGGCCAACCACUCUUCACAUGGAGACUUUGACCUUCAGAUUUCAGAAGAAAUACUACACACUCAGUCUAGCUUUUAUGGGCUUUUAUGGUUCCCAAAUUAUCCCAAUGGGAUCUGUAAACUUAGAGUGAUAAGCAGGAUCAAAAAAUGCAUUCAUACAGUCUGAGGCUUGUAAUCAAUCUCCUACUACUCACCUAUUAGCGGCUAACGUGCUCUCAGCUAAUGAUAUGGUCUGUGCAUCAGUGAACAGGGAAGAUAUUGGUUGUAGGAGCAUCGCCCAACAGCUCCUGGACAACCUCUGGGCCUAGUCUUCCUGUGGAAAAGGCAGGUCCCCAUAGCUGCUUCCAAACCCUGUAUUUGGAGAUGUCAGCCUUUCAUUUCCUGGUCAUACAGGAUCCCUCUGCUACACCCUGGACAUGAGAUAUGGGGCCAACAAAUAGGAAAAGAGAAGGGGGCGAAAAAGGCCUCAUCUCUCUGCUGAUCCUUUCCCAGAUCCCUGGCUAUCCCAUACCAGGACACCAAAUUUCCCUGCAAGAUCUGCUGGUGCUCAUGGCCAUCUGUGGACUGUGAUAAAGAAGAACAAGAUUUAAAUGAGCUUGUUAGGUGUUGGCACCAAACAGAAACCAUACCUUGAGGCAGAGAAUCCCCAAGUUCGGAUGUAGGGUACGUCCUCCAUUCUGUGAGAGAAGGUGCGGGAUGGCCAGGAGAGGGAUCAGUGGGCAUGUCACGAGCUGUUCCAGGUUUUCCUCUGACACCUCUCUCAUCCCUAUCUAGUAAGAAUGUUCUACCUUGUUUGCAGCCUGAAGCUUAAUAACAAUGCGGAAUGCAGCAUCAUUUGCAAAUCUAACAUCUAAAGGAGAAAAUGGAAUAAGAAAAAAAAUCACAGAAAAAGAAAUGAGCAAGAAGAGGAAUGGA